GACGAACGCUGGCGGCGUGCUUAACACAUGCAAGUCGAACGGACAGGCCCUGCGUUUGUGGGGUGCUCGAGUGCCGAACGGGUGUGUAACACGUGUGUAAACUGCCCUUGUAUGUGGGGUAACUUCAGGAGACUGGGGCUCAUACCGGAUAGGAGCUCUUGCAGCAUGGUGGGGGUUGGAAAAUUUCGGCGGUGGGGGCUGGAUUCGCGGCUUAUGCGCUUGAUAGUCGGGUAGUUGAUUUCCAAGGCUUUGACGGGUAGCCGGCAUGGGAGGGUGGCCGGCGUCAUUGGGACUACGAGAGGGACCAGACUCCUAUGUGAGGCAGCAGUGGGGAAUAUUGCAGAACGGGCGGAAGUCUGAUGCAGCGGCGCCGCGUUCGGGAUGACGGCUUUCGGGUUGUAAACCGCUUUCGCCUGUGACGAAGCGUGAGUGACGGUAAUGAGUAAAGAAGCACCGGCUAACUACGUG
rnacentral:rRNA from 1 species